rnacentral:rRNA from 1 species
UACGUAGGGUGCAAGCGUUGUUCGGAAUCACUGGGCGUAAAGCGCACGUAGGCGGAUUUGUCAGUCAGGGGUGAAAUCCCGGGGCUCAACCUCGGAACUGCCUUUGAUACAGCAAGUCUUGAGUUCGAGAGAGGUGGGUGGAAUUCCUAGUGUAGAGGUGAAAUUCGUAGAUAUUAGGAAGAACACCGGUGGCGAAGGCGGCCCACUGGCUCGAUACUGACGCUGAGGUGCGAAAGCGUGGGGAGCAAACAGG